rnacentral:rRNA from 1 species
GAGUUUGAUCCUGGCUCAGAMCRAACGCUGGCGGCGUGCAUAACACAUGCAAGUCGAACGUGAUCCGGAGCUUGCUCCGGUGAAAKUGGCGCMCGGGUGAGUAACGCGUGGAUAAUCUGCCCUGGUAUYUGGGAUAMCAUCUCGAAAGGGGUGCUAAUMCCGGAUAAGCCUACGGGAUCUUCGGAUUCUGCAGGAAAAGGAGGCCUCUAUUUAUAAGCUUCCGUAUCAUGAUGGGUCCGCGUACCAUUAGMUAGUUGGUGGGGUAAUGGCCUACCAAGGCGACGAUGGUUAGCUGGUCUGAGAGGAUGAUCAGCCACACUGGAACUGAGACUCGGUCCUAGWMAUCCCUUMYGAGUAGGCCGRGCCUMAAGYUUGU